CAGUCGCCGCGGGAAUACAGAGGGUGCGAGCGUUAAUCGGAUUUACUGGGCGUAAAGCGUGCGUAGGCGGCUUUUUAAGUCGGAUGUGAAAUCCCUGAGCUUAACUUAGGAAUUGCAUUCGAUACUGGGAAGCUAAAGUAUGGGAGAGGAUGGUAGAAUUCCAGGUGUAGCGGUGAAAUGCGUAGAGAUCUGGAGGAAUACCGAUGGCGAAGGCAGCCAUCUGGCCUAAUACUGACGCUGAGGUACGAAAGCAUGGGGAGCAAACAGGAUUAGAUACCCGAGUAGUCCCUGUCUCUUAUAC
rnacentral:rRNA from 1 species